AUUGAACGCUGGCGGCAUGCCUUACACAUGCAAGUCGAACGGUAACAGGUCUUCGGAUGCUGACGAGUGGCGAACGGGUGAGUAAUACAUCGGAACGUGCCCGAUCGUGGGGGAUAACGGAGCGAAAGCUUUGCUAAUACCGCAUACGAUCUACGGAUGAAAGCAGGGGACCGCAAGGCCUUGCGCGAACGGAGCGGCCGAUGGCAGAUUAGGUAGUUGGUGGGAUAAAAGCUUACCAAGCCGACGAUCUGUAGCUGGUCUGAGAGGACGACCAGCCACACUGGGACUGAGACACGGCCCAGACUCCUACGGGAGGCAGCAGUGGGGAAUUUUGGACAAUGGGCGCAAGCCUGAUCCAGCAAUGCCGCGUGCAGGAUGAAGGCCUUCGGGUUGUAAACUGCUUUUGUACGGAACGAAAAGGCUCUGGUUAAUACCUGGGGCUCAUGACGGUACCGUAAGAAUAAGCCCGGCUAACUACGUGACAGCAGCCGCGGUAACAC
rnacentral:rRNA from 1 species